CCUACGGGAGGCAGCAGUGGGGAAUAUUGGUCAAUGGGCGCGAGCCUGAACCAGCCACGUAGCGUGAAGGAUGAAUGCCCUACGGGUUGUAAACUUCUUUUGUAGAGGAAUGAAGUGAGGCACGUGUGCCUUUUUGUCUGUACUUUAUGAAUAAGGAUCGGCUAACUCCGUGCCAGCAGCCGCGGUAAUACGGAGGAUCCGAGCGUUAUCCGGAUUUAUUGGGUUUAAAGGGAGCGUAGAUGGGAUGUUAAGUCAGUUGUGAAAGUUUGCGGCUCAACCGUAAAAUUGCAAUUGAUACUGGCAGUCUUGAGUACAGUUGAGGUAGGCGGAAUUCGUGGUGUAGCGGUGAAAUGCUUAGAUAUUACGAAGAACUCCGAUGGCGAAGGCAGCUUACUAAACUGACACUGACAUUGAGGCUCGAAAGUGUGGGUAGCAAACAGGAUUAGAUACCCCUGUAGUC
rnacentral:rRNA from 1 species